rnacentral:lncRNA from 1 species
AUGUCAGCAGCAAGAGUCAGCCAGCGGGCGCCCAAGACUGUCGCAGACACAGUUCCCUUGUGGUUGCCCUUCAGUCAAACUGCCAACUUAUUAGAGAUCCACCAGGGACCCGGAGCGUGGGGAGGCUGUCCCAAAGGCUGGAAAUCCUUGCCUGAUAUGAACUUAGAAUCAAGUUUGUCAGAGAGUCCUGUCGCUGCACAGCUGGAGCCCAGGCAACAGAGGAUGCGGGAGGCGAGGGAAACAGCCACUUCCGAUGAAUGAAUGCCCCGCACCUAGGCUUAGAUCACCCACCAGUCGGCCAGACGCACUGAGAACCCAGCAGGUCGUCACUGCCCCAAAAGCCCCUCCCUGAAAAUGAGGGGUUCUGUUCUCGUAUUUUGCCUUCAGCAGCCUUGUCCACCUGGGUCUCCGUCUCCAGCCCUCCUUGGUCCUCCUCCAGACCCUGCCAGCUGGAUCUAAGCGUUGUUAGGAGGGACAAAUCUGCAGGUAGCCACCACCUUGCCCCCCAGCCAACUCGCAAAGCCAGGCUCCAGCUGCGAGGGGACGAGCCGCCCUGGGAGGGAAAUGACCAAGGUCAAUGCUGGGGACACAGCAUCUGCAGCAAUGCAUUCCCCCCUUUCUUCUCCUGUGGUCAUUGUUACUUUCCACUGACCAGCUGCCUGCAGGCUCCGAGCGGAGACAGAAUGGGUAACACAGCCUCCAUUCAGCGGAGAUUAAUGCCUGAAAUGAGCCACACCUCUGAACAAUUGCUUCCUAGAAGAGGGAGGGCGCUGAAUGGCCAUGGAGCCCCAUUGAUGACUGUUAUAAAAAAGAGGUGAAGGCCUGCAUGGGAGGGAAGAAAAGUUUCACACUGCCUCCCAAACCUAGCUCCGAUUCUUCCCCAUCCCUCCUCUUUUCCCUUCUGCCCGUCCUUUUGGCCCAUUUGCCCUUAAUCCGGACUCGUCCUUUUUUGUCUCGGGACUCGGGCCACCAGCUGAAAAUUCACAGGUUUGCUACUGUAAGUCAUAUCUUGGUGGCUGCUGCCGACCGCAUUGGUACUAGUAUCUGUGCAACUUUCCGACUUGACAAUUAGUUACUAUCAUUCACACUGUGCAGUCAGCUGUUAAAUCCUCAUUUAUGCUCAUUUGAAUAUGAAUGUGCUGUUCAAUAACAUGUUAGAUUGCCAUGUUUACAAAUAUACUCCAGGUAUUUAGAAAUUUAGAUGAUGCAAAACAUACUGUUUAAGCUGCGCUCAGUGCCAGUUUAAAUAACUUAAGCCUAUUUAUCA